rnacentral:lncRNA from 10 species
CUAUCAUUAGUAUUUCUAGUCUACCCAAAGAGAGAUGCUGGCAAGAACUAGACACCAGUGGUAUCUAAUCUAAUAAUGCUCUUAUCUUUUUUUAUUAUACGCGUUAAAUAGGAUUUAAAGACAUUCAAGGAAGGUCUGAAUCUUCACUACGUGUAAAAAAUGCCCACUGAACUUACUGAAAACUCCUCAUCCUCCUGAAAGACGUUCUGGUUCAGUGGAUCUGAGGACCGUGUUGCUUCUGCCCUGAAUGAGUUCUUUUCUCCCGGGCUGCAGGGACCACAGAGGUCUUCUUCCUAUUACUUCAUGGACUGUAUGAAUUCCACCCAGCUGGUGACAUCAUGGCAGGUGGUUUGGAGAUGAACUGGUAUCCUGCCCUGUGUUAAAUGUCCUCAGACUGGAGCUCAGAACUUUUGAGUAUUUUCAAAAGGGUCACCGUGUCUCCAGAGAAAUGCUCCCAACAGUCCUAACUGAAGUCAGCACUGAACUGGGCAAAGGACUCAAGAAAAAAAGUUUCCUUCCUCCUCGAUGUGUUGCUCAAAGCACUGCGUGAGACCACACGGAGCAGUAUCUAAGCAUUGAGCAACACUCAGAAGGGCAGCAGGACAAAUGCGUAGCUGCUAAUGACCCCUCUCCUGCCAAUGCUUUCCUCCCUCAGCCCCCUCUAGGGUCACCGAACAGCUGUAAAUACAAGCUGACCACCCUCAAGGAGCUGGGAUGGAGGGAGGUUUUCUCCAGUCUCCAGUUCUGCCUUUGCACCUCUGUGGCCUCUCAAAUGCUCAGCCAGUAUUUUGAGUACACCCAACCUCACCCAGGAGAUAUAUGUCACCCAGAAACAUGUGCUCUCCAGAAAGUCUUCCUGACAUCAUCGGGGCAGUCCUCCUCCACCUCCUCCUCUUCCCAGCAAUUCGUUCUGCAAAUUAAUGCCAUCCAAACAAUCCUGUAAGUGAAUUGUUUUUUAAAAGGCUAAGGCUGACAGCUGAGCAUAAUAACCCAGGGCACACCAACCCAGGGCACAAACAAGAUUUCAGCCUUGCAUGCUGACAGCUGCAAAUAAAAUCCUUAGUUAGAGUGGGGAGUAAAGUUCCCUGCAAAGAACAAGCUGUAGAAGCCUGGAAAGAAAUAGGAUCCCAAGGAGCAGGGAUGUGGGGGAUCUCCAGGUCUUCUUUUGCUCUGUUCCUGGGGCCUCUUCCUCUUCUUGCUGCCUCCUCCCCUGCCUUGAACAUGUGCCUGUGACCCACGAGGGACAGCAAGGCUUCUUCUUUCUAUCUGCUAGGCCAUCCAGGUAAAUAACAGGUAUAAAAAUGAGUGAAAACACUUCCAAAAUGUUGAUAGUGCUUGGGAAAAGGAGGCUCUGU